AGUGGCGGACGGGUGAGUAACGCGUGAGAAUCUGCCUUGGGGUCGGGGACAACCACUGGAAACGGUGGCUAAUACCGGAUAAGCCGAUUGGUGAAAGAUUUAUUGCCCGAAGAGGAGCUCGCGUCUGAUUAGCUAGUUGGUGAGGUAAGAGCUCACCAAGGCAGCGAUCAGUAGCUGGUCUGAGAGGACGAUCAGCCACACUGGGACUGAGACACGGCCCAGACUCCUACGGGAGGCAGCAGUGGGGAAUUUUCCGUAAUGGGCGAAAGCCUGACGGAGCAAGACCGCGUGAGGGAGGAAGGCUCUUGGGUUGUAAACCUCUUUUCUCAGGGAAGAAGCUCUGACGGUACCUGAGGAAUCAGCCUCGGCUAACUCCGUGCCAGCAGCCGCGGUAAUACGGAGGAGGCAAGCGUUAUCCGGAAUUAUUGGGCGUAAAGCGUCCGCAGGUGGCGAUUCAAGUCUGCUGUCAAAGCACGGGGCUUAACUCCGUAAAGGCAGUGGAAACUGAAUAGCUAGAGUGCCGUAGGGGUAGAGGGAAUUCCCGGUGUAGCGGUGAAAUGCGUAGAGAUCGGGAAGAACAUCGGUGGCGAAAGCGCUCUACUGGACGGCAACUGACACUCAGGGACGAAAGCUAGGGGAGCGAAUGGGAUUAGAUACCCC
rnacentral:rRNA from 1 species